UACGUAGGGGACAAGCGUUGUCCGGAAUCAUUGGGCGUAAAGAGCGUGUAGGCGGCCAGAAAAGUCCGCUGUGAAAACUCGAGGCUCAACUUCGAGCUGUCGGUGGAAACUUUCUGGCUAGAGUCCGGAAGAGGAGAAUGGAAUUCCUGGUGUAGCGGUGAAAUGCGCAGAUAUCAGGAAGAACACCCGUGGCGAAGGCGGUUCUCUGGGACGGUACUGACGCUGAGACGCGAAAGCGUGGGGAGCGAACAGG
rnacentral:rRNA from 1 species